GACGAACGCUGGCGGCGUGCUUAACACAUGCAAGUCGAACGGAAAGGCCCUGCUUUUGUGGGGUGCUCGAGUGGCGAACGGGUGAGUAACACGUGAGUAACCUGCCCUUGACUUUGGGAUAACUUCAGGAAACUGGGGCUAAUACCGGAUAGGAGCUCCUGCUGCAUGGUGGGGGUUGGAAAGUUUCGGCGGUUGGGGAUGUACUCGCGGCUUAUCAGCUUGUUGGUGGGGUAGUGGCUUACCAAGGCUUUGACGGGUAGCCGGCCUGAGAGGGUGACCGGCGACAUGGGGACUGAGAUACGGCCCAGAGUGCUACGGGAGGCAGCAGUGGGGAAUAUUGCACAAUGGGAGGAAGCCUGGUGCAGCAAGGCGGCGUGCGGGAUGACGGCCUUCGGGUUGUAAACCGCUUUCGCCUGUGACGAAGCGUGAGUGACGGUAAUGGGUAAAGAAGCACCGGCUAACUACGUG
rnacentral:rRNA from 1 species